rnacentral:lncRNA from 1 species
CAUAGACAAGAACUGAACAGUGGGUGCCUCAAAGACAUGAUCUCCACUGCAGGCAAUACAGGCCUCUACAAGGUCUGAAGACAAUGACUUCAACUACACGGCUACCUCCACCAGGUCCCAUAGAGGUGGGAAAACACUCAGAGCUCCUCUAGACAUAGAAAGGAAACAAAAUGACAAGUGGAAGGCUUCAGCCCAGACACUGUGAAAGUAAUCUAAGAGGGCUGAAAGCUUUGGCUCCCUGAGAACAAGAAAUGACAGUACAAGACCUACCCACUUGUAACAACUAAAUGCUUCUAACAAGAAAAAGUAACUAAGCAAAAAUAGGCAUCAAAGUUUUCUGACACUGGGAAACUGAUCCCUGGGAGAAGAGAACCAACACAGGGAUGAAAAAGAAGCAUCAGAAAGGAGCAGCCUGGGCUAACCCCAGACCUCACUCAUCACCAGGAAGGAGGAGGCUCCGGAGGGGGACUGCUCCUGAUCAUCAUGACUGAGUAGCCAGGAUCAUCUGAAGUGCACAAUCCUUAUGACAUAUAUCCAAGGCCAUCAGCACCUGCCACAGCAACACAACAGCCAUGUUUCACUUCGCUCCAUCUCAUCACGGAGGUACCAGGUCACACCUCGGCACGAGAAGAGGAGUACACCCUGAGGUCCUUGGAAGAAAUCCACAUACACAGAACUUUAUUAUGGUAAAUUGAAAUAAUAAUUUAAAAGAAAAAAAUGCAAUGGGGCACAGCUGACUUCCCAAUUCCGGCCUUUUGAACUUUUGAGAGGAUCUGAAGGAAGCGGUCACUGUGAGCACCAGGAGGGCUGCCCCAGCCCCAGCAUGGCACUGCCU